rnacentral:rRNA from 1 species
UACGUAGGUGGCAAGCGUUAUCCGGAAUUACUGGGCGUAAAGCGCACGCAGGCGGUCUUUUAAGUUUGACGUGAAAGCUCCCGGCUUAACUGGGAGAGGUCGUUGAAUACUGGAAGACUUGAGGCAAUGAGAGGGGUGUAGAAUUCCCGGUGUAGUGGUGGAAUGCGUAGAUAUCGGGGGGAAUACCAGUGGCGAAAGCGGCACCCUGGCGUUAGCCUGACGCUCAUGUGCGAAAGCGUGGGGAGCAAACGGG